GUGAGCUCUUAAACAAGGACUCGGGCCUUCUUUCCCAAUGGAGUUUCUUUCCUUAGAUGCCGUUAAUUUCCCCCAAUAGCCAGCUUGAGACUAGUCCCCCGUGUGGCAAUAGUUUCACAGCAGAGGCUCUGCAAAUGGAGCACUGAAGGCACUGCUUCCUGCUUCCUGGACUCUGGGUCUUCCCAAGAUCCGCCAUUCCCCAGAUGAGGAAACUGAGGCCAACAGGAUUAAGUGACUUGCCCAGCAUCUUAGAGCUAAAUAAGUAACUCACUGGGACCUGAGGAGGGCAUUUCUCUUAAGAAUUCCAUUGAGGAGGCUUCCUUGUGUAGUUUGCAGAAAUGAUUGUGGAAUAUGGGACAACAAUAGUAUUUGCAGCUGUGAGAAGACAGGACUCGUUGGAAAAGACCUUGAUGUUGAAAGAUUGAAGACAGAAGGAGAAGGGGAUGGCAGAGGUUGAGAUGGAUAGACAAUGCCAUAGAAAUAAUGAAGGUACCAGUCAUUUGGGAUGUGAAGGUACAGGAAAGAAGAUGAAAUAUCAUUUUAAUUAACCAGGGUCCUAUUUACAUGGCUGGUAUUUCAAGGGUGAUGCCAGGGAACAUCAGAUGGAAGGACCCAGUCAAGCUGAAAAGGAUUGGGGUAGAGGCCCAAGGACAGAAAGCAUCUCUGCCAGUUGAGCUAUGAAGUUCAGAGUGGCUCCACCUCAGAUGAUCAAGUUGUCAUCUGCAUUGGCAGAAGGAAGGAACACCCACCCUGAGAAGCCUGCAGAUCUUUGAAAGUGUUGUACACAUGAUAAUUGGUCUGAACUAAGCCCUUUUGCAUUUAUUAGAGUUGUUGUAUCAGUCAGUUAAUUAACUUCAGCAAGGCAUUUAGCAAAGUCCCUUAUGAUAUCUGUGUACAAUGGAGAAAUAUGGCUUUGAUAAUAUACAGUAUCAUUAGUUGGACCCUGAGAUGACUAAGUAACCAAACUCAGAGAGGGCUAGUCAAUAUAGAGCUGAGCCUCUAGUGGAGGGCCUUAGGGCUCAGAUUUAUCCAACAUUUUGAAUAAUGACUUCUCUCCUUUUUGGGUUCAUGUAGCCUCUAUGUGACUUGUCAAUCCCAGAUCUGCCACUUGUUCACCAAUGCGCCCUUGAACAAGACACUUAGCCACCUUGGGCCUCAGCUUCUCCAUUUGUCACAUUAGGCAGCUGGAUUAGAUCACUUCUAAAGUGACUUCCAGCUCCAGAUGAUCUAUGACCUUCUGUCUUGGAAUUGGGAGAUAUCUGGGUUCUAAUUCUGCCUCUUACUGGCUAUCUGACCAGGGUCAAGUCAUUUAAUUUCUUAUAUUCUUCAUAUGUAAAGAAGGGAUAGUAAUAUCUGUAUUAUCUAUAUAAUGAAGCUAUUGUGGUUAGAAAAGUACAUAUCACAUAGAAAAAUAUAUAACAUACACACAAAUGUGAGUAUAUACAUAUAUGCAUCCACAUAUACAUACUCAAAAGUCUUAGUGCAGUUUUAAGCUUUAAUAGAUUAAAACCUCACUAGGAUUUCUGAAACAUUAUGUAAAGGAUAUGUGUAUGUGUGAGUAUGUAAAAUGUUUUUCAUACUCAUAAAAAUACUCCAAAGACUAGGAUGAAGAUAUGGAUAGAUUGAUUACCAAAUAUGUAGAUGAUACAAAGAUAAGAGAGGGAACCAACAUGUUAAACGAUUGAAUAAAAACAUAAUCUCAAUGGGAAGGAAUAAUGAAUCCAAAUGAGGAAGUGAAAUGCAUGUUUCAAUAUUUAGGAUCAUAGAUAUAUAGAUUUGGAAUUGAAAGAAGACUUAAAGGACAUCAGGUCAUUUUACCAAGGAAGAAACUGGGGCACAAUGAGCUGUCUUGACAACAACUAGUGUCCAAGAUAGAAUAUGAAUCCAGAUCUUCCUGACUCCAAGUCUGGAUCUAUGUCCAUUACAUUUCAAGGACUUGUGAUCGUGUCCGUAUAAAUAAUCCACCUACUGACUCAGACUGAAAACCUUCCAUGCUUUAGUCCAGAAGCAUCAAACACAUGGUCAGUGGGCAGCAUGACAGCAUCACUCCCAACUGCUACCUGAACCAUAUUAAGAUUUAAUUGGGGGGGCAGCUGGGUAGCUCAGUGAAUUGAGAGCUAGCCCUAGAGACGGGAGGUCCUAGGUUCAAAUCUGGCCUCAGACACUUCCCAGCUGUGUGACCCUGGGCAAGUCACUUGACCCCCAUUGCCUACCCUAACCACUCUUCUGCCUUGGAGCCAAUACACAGUAUUGACUCCAAGAAGGAAGGUAAGGGUUUAAAAAAAAAAGAUUUAAUUGGACAACAUUUAAAUGAUUAAAUAAAAUAUAAUAAA